rnacentral:misc_RNA from 1 species
GUGAAUCAUCGAAUCUUUGAACGCAUAUUGCGCCCGCCAGUACUCUGGCGGGCAUGCCUGUUCGAGCGUCAUUUCACCCCUCAGGCCCUAAGCUGCCUGGCGUUGGGGCGCUGCGGCCCGUCCGCAGGCCCUCAAAUCUAGCGGCGGACCCGCCCGGCCCUGAGCGUAGUAGAAGAAAACCUCGCUCCGGCGGCCGUGGCGCGGCCCUGCCUACCCUCCCAACGUCGCGGUGAACGCGCCGUCCUCGAGUUGACCUCGGAUCAGGUAGGACUACCCGCUGAACUUAAGCAUAUCAAUAAGCGGAGGA